rnacentral:rRNA from 1 species
GAUGAACGCUAGCGGCAGGCUUAAUACAUGCAAGUCGAGGGGCAGCAUGAAUGUAGCAAUACAUUUGAUGGCGACCGGCAAACGGGUGCGGAACACGUACACAACCUUCCUAUAAGUGGGGAAUAGCCCAGAGAAAUUUGGAUUAAUACCCCGUAACAUAAUGAUGUGGCAUCACAUUAUUAUUAUAGCUACGGCGCUUGUUGAUGGGUGUGCGGCUGAUUAGAUAGUUGGCGGGGUAACGGCCCACCAAGUCUACGAUCAGUAGCUGAUGUGAGAGCAUGAUCAGCCACACGGGCACUGAGACACGGGCCCGACUCCUACGGGAGGCAGCAGUAAGGAAUAUUGGUCAAUGGACGCAAGUCUGAACCAGCCAUGCCGCGUGAAGGAUUAAGGUCCUCUGGAUUGUAAACUUCUUUUAUCUGGGACGAAAAAAGGCUAUUCUUAGUCACUUGACGGUACCAGAUGAAUAAGCACCGGCUAACUCCGUGCCAGCCGCCGCCGUAAGAC